ACGAACGCUGGCGGCGUGCUUAACCCAUGCAAGUCGCACGGAAAGGCCCUGCUUGCAGGGUACUCGAGUGGCGAACGGGUGAGUAACACGUGGGUGAUCUGCCCUGCACUUCGGGAUAAGCCUGGGAAACUGGGUCUAAUACCGGAUAUGACCUUCCAUGUAGUGUGGGGGGUGGAAAGAUUUAUCGGUGUGGGAUGAGCCCGCGGCCUAUCAGCUUGUUGGUGGGGUAAUGGCCUACCAAGGCGUCGACGGGUAGCCGGCCUGAGAGGGUGGACGGCCACAUUGGGACUGAGAUACGGCCCAGACUCCUACGGGAGGCAGCAGUGGGGAAUAUUGCACAAUGGGCGGAAGCCUGAUGCAGCGACGCCGCGUGGGGGAUGACGGCCUUCGGGUUGUAAACCUCUUUCGACAGGGACGAAGCUUCGGUGACGGUACCUGUAUAAGAAGCACCGGCUAACUACGUG
rnacentral:rRNA from 1 species